AGAACGCAGCGAAAUGCGAUAAGUAGUGUGAAAUUGCAGAAUUCAGUGAAUCAUCGAAUCUUUGAACGCACAUUGCGCCCUUUGGUAUUCCAAAGGGCAUGCCUGUUCGAGCGUCAU
rnacentral:rRNA from 1 species